rnacentral:rRNA from 1 species
AUUGAACGCUGGCGGCAGGCCUAACACAUGCAAGUCGAGCGGAUGAAGGGAGCUUGCUCCUGGAUUCAGCGGCGGACGGGUGAGUAAUGCCUAGGAAUCUGCCUGGUAGUGGGGGAUAACGUCCGGAAACGGGCGCUAAUACCGCAUACGUCCUGAGGGAGAAAGUGGGGGAUCUUCGGACCUCACGCUAUCAGAUGAGCCUAGGUCGGAUUAGCUAGUUGGUGGGGUAAAGGCCUACCAAGGCGACGAUCCGUAACUGGUCUGAGAGGAUGAUCAGUCACACUGGAACUGAGACACGGUCAAGACUCCUACGGGAGGCAGCGGUGGGGAAUAUUGGACAAUGGGCGAAAGCCUGAUCCAGCCAUGCGGGGGGGGUGAAGAGGUCUUCGGAUUGUAAAGCACUUUAAGUUGGGAGGAAGGGCAGUAAGUUAAUACCUUGCUGUUUUGACGUUACCAACAGAAUAAGCACCGGCUAACUUCGUG